rnacentral:rRNA from 1 species
CCUACGGGGGGCAGCAGUGGGGAAUAUUGGGCAAUGGAGGCAACUCUGACCCAGCAACGCCGCGUGAAUGAUGAAGGUCUUCGGAUUGUAAAGUUCUUUUCUAAGGGAAGAAGAAAGUGACGGUACCUUAGGAAUAAGCCUCGGCUACCUACGUGCCAGCAGCCGCGGUAAUACGUAGGAGGCAAGCGUUAUCCGGAUUGACUGGGCGUAAAGGGUGCGUAGGUGGUUUGACAAGUUAGUAGCGCAACUCCGGAGCUCAACUUCGGAACUACUACUAAAACUGUUGGACUUGAGUGCAGGAGGGGAAAUCGGAAUUCCAGGUGUAGCGGUGGAAUGCGUAGAUAUUAGGAGGAACACCAGUGGCGAAGGCGAAUUGCUGGACUGUAACUGACACUGAGGCACGAAAGCGUGGGGAGCAAACAGGAUUAGAUACCCCAGUAGUC